rnacentral:rRNA from 1 species
ACGGAAGGCAGCGGUGGGGAAUAUUGGACAAUGGGGGAAACCCUGAUCCAGCGACGCCGCGUGAGUGAAGAAGUAUUUCGGUAUGUAAAGCUCUAUCAGCAAGGAAGAAAAUGACGGUACUUGACUAAGAAGCUCCGGCUAAAUACGUGCCAGCAGCCGCGGUAAUACGUAUGGAGCAAGCGUUAUCCGGAUUUACUGGGUGUAAAGGGAGCGUAGACGGCAAAGCAAGUCCGAAGUGAAAUCCCGGGGCUCAACCCCGGAACUGCUUUGGAAACUGUUUAGCUAGAGUGCAGGUGAGGUAAGCGGAAUUCCUAGUGUAGCGGUGAAAUGCGUAGAUAUUAGGAGGAACACCAGUGGCGAAGGCGGCUUACUGGACUGUAACUGACACUGAGGCUCGAAAGCGUGGGGAGCAAACAGGAUUAGAUACCCUGGUA